GAUGAACGCUGGCGGCGUGCCUAAUACAUGCAAGUCGAGCGAACAGACGAGGAGCUUGCUCCUCUGACGUUAGCGGCGGACGGGUGAGUAAUGCCUAGGAAUCUGCCUGGUAGUGGGGGAUAACGUCCGGAAACGGGCGCUAAUACCGCAUACGUCCUGAGGGAGAAAGUGGGGGAUCUUCGGACCUCACGCUAUCAGAUGAGCCUAGGUCGGAUUAGCUAGUUGGUGGGGUAAAGGCCUACCAAGGCGACGAUCCGUAACUGGUCUGAGAGGAUGAUCAGUCACACUGGAACUGAGACACGGUCCAGACUCCUACGGGAGGCAGCAGUGGGGAAUAUUGGACAAUGGGCGAAAGCCUGAACCAGCCAUGCCGCGUGUGUGAAGAAGGUCUUCGGAUUGUAAAGCACUUUAAGUUGGGAGGAAGGGCAGUAAGUUAAUACCUUGCUGUUUUGACGUUACCAACAGAAUAAGCACCGGCUAACUUCGUG
rnacentral:rRNA from 1 species